ACUCCUACGGGAGAGCAGCAGUGAGGAGAAUUUUGGACAAUGGGCGAAAGCCUGAUCCAGCAAUGCCGCAGUGAGUGAAGAAGGCCUUCGGAUUAUAAAGCUCUUUUGUAGGGAAUAAACGGUGAAGGCUAAUAUCCUUUGCUAAUUAUGGUACCUGAAAAUAAUCACCGGCUAACUAC
rnacentral:rRNA from 1 species